CCGCCGCUCUCUUUGCCCCGGGCUGCAGCGGGGGCCGUUUUAGGUAGGAAAGGCUGGCUUCACCCCCUCCCGCCCCCCACCCCCAGCCUAAAGAAAUGGUGGGCCAAAACAAAUCGAAAAAAGAAAAUUGAAAGGAGGGAGGGAGGGAGCGAAGAAGCGAAGUAGACCAGCAAUGGAGCCCAAGGCGAGGAGACCGACGCUACCGGAUCCAGCUGGGAGAAUAAGAUAUAGUGGUGGGUAGAGAUUCUCUGGGCCUCCAUUUUUUAAAAUCACGGUUCCAGGCAAACCUAAAUGACUUUCUCUGUGUGUGCCUGUGCAUAUGGAAUAAAGAAAUACUUGGUUCUGGUUCUUUUUAUUUUUCUAAGAUACACAGUUGUAUGUGUACACAAGCGUACACACUGUGGCCGCCCAUUAAUCUCUCUCCAUCUAAAGGCUGGGUGAAAUUAAAAUGCUCAUAGCCUGAGAUGUGUCACGCCUGCCUUUAGAAAGAGCAGGCUGUACUCACUCAAGGAAAAAAUGGCCUUUUUGAGAAGAGGAUUUGAAAUGUCUAGGUUGAAAUGUCACGAGUUGGGUGCUCUGUUUCCUGAAUUCUACAAGAUCUUGGCUGCAGGAGUGUGUAAACACAGGGAAAGAUGAUCUCCCAGGUCUGAGUGAAAGCAUUCAGACGUGAGCUGUAUUAAACAAGAGGCUGAAAUGCAACCCCCCCCCCCCAUCACACUGGAACCUGGGUGUUGUGAGUGUGCUUAACCAUGAGUAAGGAGGUUGGGUGUACCCCACAGAUAAAAGGAUGUCUGCAGAAGAAUUGAAUUUGUGUUUUAUUUUGGAUUUAAGACAACAUCUAUGCUUUGCCACUAAUAUUGAAGACCUGCGCUGAAUAAAGAGUUUGCCUGUGUUGAAACCACCAGUCCAAAAAUCCCAUUCUACUCUGUGGGAUUCCUGCCAAUAUCUACAGCACUGGGCUAUUCUUUCAAGGAGCUGGCUGAAAUUCACAUCAUUACACCAAACCUCCCCCCUCAGUGCUGGUCAUGGUGGCAAUCUCCAACCCCACCAACUUUCAGAGGACACCACACUCUUCCUCCCUCACUGCUUUCCCAGCUGAAGAGCUUGGUUGGAACUCAAAAGCCUGCUCCUUUCUUUCUCCUCCCCUUUUGGACCAGACCAGAGAGCUUCAACCCCCCCCCCCUCAAAACAAGCCAGGUUCCAAGGGAAAACAGAUCAAACCCUUCCCCCAGAUGAAAGCCACUUUCCCUUCCCGCACAUCCCCUCCUUUAAUCAAUCGCUUCAGGGAUGCCAAGAGAGCAGCGCUAAUCUCCAAGGCCCAAACACGGUGCCCACUUUGGCCAUCUGAAAGGGAAAGCGAAGGGAGAUAACCCCCUUACUCACACACACACACACACACAGAGCACACAAGGGAAAAAGAAAAAAAAUCAGAUUUCUCUCUUGCACUUGUGCUUAGGCGACGAACCCAAACCUCAACCAUAGGGCUCCGUCCAAGGGAACGGCUCUUCCCGGGACAAGCCAGCCAGCCAGCCAGUCCCCAUCAACCGAAACACCUCUUCCCACGACCUCCCUUCUCCGGACUUCUGGCUUGGAAGGCGACGGAGCAAAGACCUCGUUCAGGGUCCUCCAUCCGCGCGCGGAUGGGGAUCUCCCUAAAAAGGAGAGAGGCGAUCGCUUUCGGGCGAGCCCCCCCCCUUCUCUCUCUCUCUCUGUUGUCUUUCUCGCACUCUCGGGGCCCUCCCACCACCCCCGAGAACGACACGAUCGCGGGAAAAGUCCCACGUGCGGAUGGGCGAUCCAAUUUUAGAAGCGGUUUCGGACGCGGCGGAAUUCGGUGUGGAUGGGGCUGUAGCGUUUUAAAGAAAAAGGACGGUCGCGCCGGGGAUUUCUAGGGGGCAAAAAACCCGUGGAAUAUGCUGUGUGUGUGUGUGUGUGUGUGUGUGUGUGUGUGUGUGUGUGUGUGUGAAAGGGAUAGAUAGCUUGGGUGUUUUGAAAAUGUAGAUCGUGUAUGAACCUAUCACGCUAUGAGAAGUCCAAAGGGAUCUCCUAGCACCUUUUCCAACUAACCACUUUUAUUAAAAAGCAUCAGCUUUUUACCUUUCCAUAAAAUGGGCUGGUCAGAAUCCAAUCCCAUUUUAUUGCUAAGUGUUAGUCAGAAAAUUAAUAAAUGAAUGCAAGUUCAGAAAAUGGGCUACUACGGUAUACUCCUUCAGUACAUUUCAGAGUAACCCAACUUAUUAAUUUGAUCUCUGCUCUGUUCAGUGGGAAUUUAUUUUGGCAUAUCUCGACCUCUGGUGCCUGAGGGCCCUCACGCCUUAUUUUAAGCUGCCUUUGCAGAUUGCACUAAGCAGGGGGUUACUUAGCCCCAGUUUCCAAGGCAAACCACAAUUGGCUGGGUUUAAGCCAAAUCAAAGAAACCACUUUGGGGUGGCUUCGAGUAAGAAAAUCUCAAGGUAGUCAUGAAAUGGCAUGAAUUUGGGGCUGAAAUCAUGCGCCUGUUCAGCUUAUGCCUCACAGAGAUUAAUGGGAACUUAUUUCUGAAUCAGAGCAUCGUGGGAUGUGCUCUUAUUCCACCAAUUAAUUUAUUCAUUAUGAAGUGCAUUAUUGAAUAAUUACCCUACUCCUUCUUUGAAUAAGAUACACUCCAGUAAGAAGUGGAAACAGACCCUGGAUUUUCAGUUAAAGUUCAUGUUUGCCUUUGGGGAUGAAUUCUCCUAAAAGAGGCAUUCCCCUGGAAGAGGCAUUCCACUCUAAGACCGAAUGCUGCCUACCUGUAUAAGAUCUUCUAUAAAGUCCUUGUAUCUUUUGAAAUACAGUAAAGAAAUCUGCACUGAUCUGGUGGUGCAUUAGUGAGAUCGCUCGGUCCCUCGAUUAAAAGUUGCCAAAUGAUUAUUGAUGAAUCCUGCAUUGGCCUACCUAUUAAUCUGGAUCAAACCUUAGUGAUUAUGCAGCAGAUAGAAAAUUGGGCUGCCUGCUGUGCUGGGACAGAGUUAAAAGCUUCCCCAAAAGAUGCUUAUUAUUCCCCCCCCCCACACACACACACACAAUAUUUCCAACAGGUUCCCCAUCCACUGCACCCCCUUAGGUCCAGACAAUUGGUUCCCUGAUGUUUGUCCCGAGCAGUCUGCAUCCACAGAUAUAGCCUUCCUAUAAAUGGAGGUUCCACUGAACUCCCUUACAGCACCAAGCUGUCCCUAAAAAUGGCUUUCCUAUGCUGCAAGCUGAAGAAACAAAUAGCCUGUGAAUGCCACACAGCAUGGCCCCUUGCAAAUGCCCCAGAAACCUCUCAAAAAUAAAACACACACACUUUGAAAAGGACAGAGACGUUGCCGGUUAAAUGACAGAGAAAUGCUUUGCGAGUAAACUGAACAAUAAUUACCCAUCAACUUCUAUAGGGCGAUCACAAUAUAUUUCAUUCAUUCAUUCAUUCAUUCAUUCAUUCAUUCAUUCAUUCAUUCAUUCAACAUGUUACACUGUUGUAUUUAGGAAUGUUCAAAGGUCAUGCUUCAAAUGGAUAAGGAAGUGUUUUGGAAGAAAAUGGCAACCAAAUUGAAAAUUCUAGGUAAUUAUAUAAUAAAUUAUAAAUAAUUCUAUCCUAAAUUUUCUAUGGGUCUUGUCUUUUGGUACAUCUUGUAUGCAUAUGCACACACGCAUGGUACACACAUACACACACAGAGUAUAUAGACACACACCCAGACAUCUAUUUAUACAAACACGCACCCAUACAUCUAUAUGAAUUUUCCCAUGUUUUCACUUUGCUCCUUAAGUCUUCAAAUCAAACCCUACCCCUGAGUCAGUUGCAAGUACGAUCAAUGCGGGCAAAAACAUCUGGAAAAAAGAGAAAGAAACAAGUAUUCAAAGCAGGGUUUGAUAUACUUUUAGUUAGGAAUAGGAUCCCCUGAAGAUGGAGGGUUGUUUUGAAGGAUUGGGCCACAAAUACCUUGUCUGACAGUUUUAUCUACUUCAUUAAGAGAAGUGGGAUGGAUGGAUGGAUGGAUGGAUGGAUGGAUGGAUGGAUGGAGCCAGAGAUAUCACCCACAUGAACCAAACUGGGUUUAUAGGCGGAAGGAACCUGAUUGUCAGACGCCAGCAGCCUCAGGGCAGCGCUCAGCGUCCCAGAGGCACUCAGUCUUUGGCCCACUUACUCAGAAGUCAAUCCAACUCAGUGUGAUGAGGUUUGCUAUACAGCAAAAGGAGGCAGGAAACAGGUGACAGUACCUGGCGGGUCUCGCUUGGUGGGGGAGCGACGCAAGGCUGGGUCUGGUGAACACCGAGACGGGAGGACAGCGGGGAAUCCCAGAGCUAUAACGCCGUUUCUUCUAAGCGCCCAUCCCUCCCUAAAAUUUAUAUUUUUCUGCUAUUAGGCUUUUUCUGCUACUCUGUCCGCCUCGCUGAAACCUCAAUCCAUUUCUCUCUCUUUGAACGAGAUCCAGGGGAGAAAUGCGGAUUAAAGCGCGAAGAGGGCAGCAGAAGACGGAGCGAUCUGACUGAUGGAUUUGGAGUUUCUUUUUUCUUUUCUUUUCUUUUCUUUUCUUUUCUUUUCUUUUCUUUUCUUUUCUCUUUUCUU